rnacentral:rRNA from 1 species
UGGGGAAUUUUGCACAAUGGAGGAAACUCUGAUGCAGCGACGCCGCGUGAGUGAUGAAGAUCUUCGGAUUGUAAAACUCUGUCCUUAGUGAAGAUAAUGACAGUAACUAAGAAGCAAGCCCUGGCUAAAUACGUGCCAGCAGCCGCGGUAAUACGUAUGGGGCAAGCGUUGUCCGGAAUUAUUGGGCGUAAAGGGUACGUAGGCGGUUUAAUAAGUCCUAAUUAAAAGGCUAUGGCUAAACCAUAGUAUGGUUAGGAAACUGUUGAACUUGAGUAGAUGAGGGGAAAGUGGAAUUCCAUGUGUAGCGGUGAAAUGCGUAGAUAUAUGGAGGAACACCAAUGGCGAAGGCAACUUUCUGGAAUCAAACUGACGCUGAGGUACGAAGGCGUGGGGAGCAAACAGG